UCCUUUUAUGUCAUUUAAAGGUCACUCAGC
rnacentral:piRNA from 1 species